rnacentral:rRNA from 1 species
GACGAACGCUGGCGGCGUGCCUAAUACAUGCAAGUCGAACGCAGUGGGGACGGGUGAGUAACACGUGGGUAACCUCCCAUCAGAGGGGAUAACACUUGGAAACAGGUGCUAAACCGAUACUGAUGGAUGGACCCGCGUUUCAUUAGCUAGUUGGUGAGGUAACGGCUCAACAAGGCCACGAUGCAUCGCGAGCCUGAUAGGGUGAUCGGCCACACUGGAACAGAGAAACGGCCCAGCCUCCUACGGGAGGCAGCAGGAGGAAAUAUUCGGCAAUGGACGAAAGUCUGACCGAGCAACGCCGCGUGAGUGAAGAAGGUUUUCGGAUCGGAAAACUCUGUUGUUAGAGAAGCGGUAUCUAACCAGAAAGCCACGGCUAACUACGUGCCAGCAGCCGCGGUAAUUC